AAGCAUCAACGGUAAGUUCGCCAACUAUACAAGUUUGUUUAAAAUCAGUCAAGAUCUUCAUUGCUCUGUAUUUUCAAACCAGUCAGGAUCUUUCUUUUUUUCCUUGUAAUGGACAGUUCUUCAUAUUAGAUUCAAUUUUCAGAUUUUAACGUAUAGGUUUGCGGAAGAGUCCAUGACAGAGCUAACAGAUGACAAAAACUCUUCAUAAUAGCCUCUAUUUCCAGCUUUGUAGAAGAGGGCAGAACAUUUCUAAUAGCUAUAGAUUCUCUUAUUUCAACAUCUAAUUUCAGGUUUGAACACAUGGAUCUGCAGAAGAGAGUUAAACAGGGCCAACAAACAAAGAGAGUUCAUAUUUUUUGCAAACUCCAGGUGGGUUUUCCUGUUCAUUUUGAAUUUUUUUUGAAUAAGAACAUGCAAUCAAAAUUUGAA